rnacentral:rRNA from 1 species
CAGCCGCCGCGGUAAUACGUAGGGUGCAAGCGUUAAUCGGAAUUACUGGGCGUAAAGCGCACGCAGGCGGUCUGACAAGUCAGAUGUGAAAUCCCCGGGCUUAACCUGGGAACUGCAUUUGAAACUGUCAGGCUGGAGUCUUGUAGAGGGGGGUAGAAUUCCAGGUGUAGCGGUGAAAUGCGUAGAGAUCUGGAGGAAUACCGGUGGCGAAGGCGGCCCCCUGGACAAAGACUGACGCUCAGGUGCGAAAGCGUGGGGAGCAAACAGGAUUAGAUACCCCAGUAGUCCCUGUCUCUUAUAC